UACGUAGGUGACCAGCGUUGUCCGGAUUUACUGGGCGUAAAGAGCGCGCAGGCGGUCGUUCAAGUCGAGUGUGAAAGCCCCCGGCUCAACUGGGGAGGGUCACGCGAUACUGAUCGACUCGAAGGCAGGAGAGGGUAGUGGAAUUCCCGGUGUAGUGGUGAAAUGCGUAGAUAUCUGGAGGAACACCGGUGGCGAAGGCGGCAUCCUGGACCGAAAUUGACGCUGAGGCGCGAAAGCCAGGGGAGCAAACGGG
rnacentral:rRNA from 1 species